rnacentral:rRNA from 1 species
GACGAACGCUGGCGGCGUGCUUAACACAUGCAAGUCGAACGAAGUGGCGAACGGGUGAGUAACGCGUAAUCAACCCGCCCUUCAGGGGGGGACAACAGUUGGAAACGACUGCUAAUACCGCAUACUGAAGGAGGGGAUUGCGUCUGAUGAGCUCGUUGGCGGGGUAACGGCCCACCAAGGCGAUGAUCAGUAGCCGGUCUGGGAGGAUGAACGGCCCCCUUGGGACUGGGGCACGGCCCAGACUCCUACGGGAGGCAGCAGUGGGGGAUCGUCCGCAAUGGACGGAAGUCUGACGGAGCAACGCCGCGUGGGUGAUGACGGCCUUCGGGUUGUAAAGCUCUGUUAAUCGGGACGCGGUACCGGAAUAGAAAGCCACGGCUAACUACGUGCCAGCAGCCGCGGUAAUAC